CGCUAAAGCUGCGUGAGUUAAUCUCCUUUUGGAGCUGGACUGAUAGAAUUUCUAGCGUUUUAAUCGCUCCAUAACCUUAAGCUAGACGCUUUUAAAAGGUGGUUCGCCUUUUAAAUUAAGAAACAAGAACUCUUGAAACUACCUCAAGGUUUUAGAAAGUUGGACCAGAGCUAGUUUUAAGGCUAAAAAACUAACCAAUUUUCUAAGCAUUGUAGAAGUUUGUGUUUAGGGCAAGAUUUUUGGACUGGGGUUCGAUUCCCCACAGCUCCACCA
rnacentral:tmRNA from 1 species